AAUAUCAACUGAAAAAGUCAUCAACAAUAAUAUUGUAUAACUCAUCAAUAUUUAUAACUUUUAUUUAGGUCAUUUCUUCAUCUGGCAAAGUGAUUUGUAACAUUGUUUACAAAAUGUACAUAUCUCUUAUAUGGUUUAUAAACUAUAAGAGAGAUAUGUAAAUUUUGUGAAAAAUGUUAAUAUCACUUUAUCGGAUGAAAAAAUGACCAAAAUAAAAGUUAUAUAUAUUUAUGAGUUAUAUAACUUUAUUGUUGAUGGCCUUUUCAGUUAAAAUC
rnacentral:pre_miRNA from 1 species